GACGAACGCUGGCGGCGUGCUUAAACAUGCAAGUCGCACGGAAAGGCCCUGCUUUUGUGGGGUGCUCGAGUGGCGAACGGGUGAGUAACACGUGAGUAACCUGCCCUUGACUUUGGGAUAACUUCAGGAAACUGGGGCUAAUACCGGAUAGGAGCUCCUGCUGCAUGGUGGGGGUUGGAAAGUUUCGGCGGUUGGGGAUGGACUCGCGGCUUAUCAGCUUGUUGGUGGGGUAGUGGCUUACCAAGGCUUUGACGGGUAGCCGGCCUGAGAGGGUGACCGGCCACAUUGGGACUGAGAUACGGCCCAGACUCCUACGGGAGGCAGCAGUGGGGAAUAUUGCACAAUGGGCGGAAGCCUGAUGCAGCAACGCCGCGUGCGGGAUGACGGCCUUCGGGUUGUAAACCGCUUUCGCCUGUGACGAAGCGUGAGUGACGGUAAUGGGUAAAGAAGCACCGGCUAACUACGUG
rnacentral:rRNA from 1 species